rnacentral:rRNA from 1 species
UACAGAGGCCCCAAGCGUUAGGCGGAAUCACUGGGCUUAAAGCGUGUGUAGGCGGGUCGUUAAGUACCUUGUGAAAUCCCACGGCUUAACCGUGGAACCGCUUGGUAUACUGGCGGUCUUGAGCCACUUAGGGGCUACCGGAACAGAUGGUGGAGCGGUGAAAUGCGUAGAUAUCGCUUGGAACGCCGAAGGUGAAAACAGGUCGCUGGGGACGCGCCGACGCUGAGACACGAAAGCCAGGGGAGCAAACGGG